GUGUGGCACACCCCUCCCUCUCCCCGACCCAGACCCCGUCGUGCCCCGAUCCACUCCCGCCGCCGCCCCCGCCCCCGCCCCUUGUCCCCCAGACCAGCCGCCGCAACGGAGAGAGGCGCCGCCGUGGCUGGCUUCCUUGCCGGCGCGCGCGUCCGUGCUUCGGUGCACUGUGCUCCAUCCUCCCGAUUCCCCAUCGCCCCCCACCGCCGCCAACCACAUCUUCGCCUCUGUCCUCCCAUAGCUCGCUGCCGGGAUCCCCUUUCCCCUUCUCGCAGCUCCACAGCUGCCAGAUCUGCCGCUCUCCGACCCCUCCGUCCUCGAGGUCGACUGGAUCCGCCCCUCCCUCUAUCCGAAGCUUGUCGCGGCCCCUUGCCCGUGGCUAGGGUUUCGGCUGCGGUGAUGCGUCCACCGACUGUGCGUCUCAGGCGGCUCGUCUCCGUCGCCCACCCCGGGCUCCGCGCAGGUUCAACCUCCUCGGGCUGGUCCAGUUCGGGACGGAGGUGGUGAGCGUCCUCCUCGGACAUCGCCCACCCGUGGCCGGAGUGGGUCGCGCUGAUGGAGCUCCUCCUCCACAAGGGCCACCUCGACGCCUCCGCCUUCGCCGGCGCCGCGCCGUCCAAGGACUCCAACCUCGUCCGCGCGCCCGAAGAUCGUCUGGUAUCUGUCAAGAUGGGAUAUUCAGGUCGCUCUGCAUGGUAGACGACGAAGACACGGGCUGUAGGGUGACGCUCGCCUGCGCUGGGCACUUUGCCGAGCCGUGCGUGGCCUCCAUCGCUGGCUGACACGGAAAGUGCUAUGGAACAAGAGGUGCCGGAAGGUGGAGAACAUUCCUUCACUCAGCACAUUCCUUCACUGGUUGUGUUUUUUUGGUUGGUGCCAUCUUAUGUUACUGGUUACUAGUGCACAAUAUGGACAUGUGCAAUCUUAUGAACAUGGGGUAAUGAUACUAAGCUACUAGUUGUGUUAUUUUGGCUGGUGCAUCUUAUGAACCUGUGGUGUAAUGAUAAUGCUGGGCCUAAAUUAUUGAAAUCCUGGAGAAUUAUAUUAUUAUUGUCAUUA